GUGAAAUUACCAAUCCUUUACCAACUUGCUAAUGCCUCAUUCCAACUGAUCAGUCUCCAUGCAACCAAAAUUUUAGUUUAUUUAUAUAUGAUUUGUAUCCUUUUUCCCCAAGGAAUAUUAAGAAAAGUUACACCUAUGAGUUUAUCCAAAUAAUAAAAGUUUGUCUCUGGUGCUGUAUGAAAGUGCAAUGUUUUAAUUUGAUGGACUAUGGUAUUGGUUUUUUAAUAGCUUUAGAAACUCAAAAGAUAAAUCACUUCUCUAAACUAAUAUGUUCUCAUUGAGCUUCAAUUUUUCUGUGAAGUGAAAUUUUUUUGGUGCAUGGUUUCUUUAGAGCAUAAUUUCAUUCCCUAUUAUUGUUGCCAAUAUAUUAGGUUUGACUAUUAACAAUGCAUGUUGCUAUAUUCAACUAUCUUUAUAUUCAUCAAUAUACAGAAAAGAGUUUCUCAUGAAAAUCAUCUUCAUAUUUCUGUAACAGAACUCUCUGAGAUGGGAUCCUUAUAUUAGUUCUAAUUUCAAUGUCUUUUCAAUAUAGAUUAUUUGUUAAGCUGUAUUGUUUCAAAGUUUCUAAUCAUAUACUUGGAAUUCUGUAAUUGCACGUAGAAAUGCUUUGUGGGAGAUUUGGCAUGCUGGUCCUAUAUGGGUUUGAGAAAGCUAAUUAACCAUCAAAAGUGCAGGCAGUCAUAUAUCUUUCUUGCAUCUUUGGUUCUCGGAUUUGCCUGUGUAAUUCAUCAAGUGCAAGAGGCCUCCAAGUACAAGGCCCUUCACUGUCAUCAAAAAUAGGAAGUCUUUGUUUGAAGAUUUAGAAGCACAUUACUAAUACAAGUGUUAAGAAGCUUCACAUCUCAGGCAUUGAAAACUUCCAGAAUGCACAGUAUUAGUUGUGUCACCUAUGAAGCCAGAUUCCUCUGCUUCAACAAUUCUGUAGACAUGAGGAAGGCGAAUAUGGAUUUUUUGCAUCCAUGUACUGCUAAUAGAGUAACUGAGCUUCCCGGGUUUAAAGAUGAAGUUCAUAUCAGUGUAUACCCAUCCUCUUCACUCCCUCAUGUUUAUCAGUGGCAUUCCGGAGCAGAUGGGUGAUAAGACUUGUGGAUAUUGGAUUAUGCAUUACAUGAGGGAUAUAGUAGAGGACAAAAACCAAGAGUGGAGUGCUAAGUGGGAAAGAAAAGCAAAUCACUAUUACACAAUGGAGAAUGUUGAUGUUGUCCGGGCAGAGUGGGCAAAGUAUGUUAUGAAGUUCAAAGAUAACUAGUGCAUGUGUAGGUUUAUUAACUAGUGCAUCAACUUUUGGACAUGG